rnacentral:pre_miRNA from 1 species
UCUAAUGGAUGAAGCAAAGGAAGUGGUUUCUUGAGAUGGAAUUUAUUUCUGAUGAAGAUGCUGUGAA